GACCGUUGUCGGGUCCCUCUCCUCCUCCCUGGGGCCUUGCACAGGCGGCGGCGCCCCUCCUCCUCCCAGGCGCCGCCGCGUCCAUUCAGUUUCGAAGCCCCUUCUCCUCCUCCCUGGGGUUUCGUUUA
rnacentral:sRNA from 1 species